UACGUAGGGUGCAAGCGUUAAUCGGAAUUACUGGGCGUAAAGCGUGCGCAGGCGGUGACGUAAGACAGAUGUGAAAUCCCCGGGCUCAACCUGGGAACUGCAUUUGUGACUGCAUCGCUGGAGUGCGGCAGAGGGGGAUGGAAUUCCGCGUGUAGCAGUGAAAUGCGUAGAUAUCGGAAGGAACAUCAGUGGCGAAAGCGGCUUCCUGGACCAGAACUGACGAUCAGGCACGAAAGCGUGGGGAGCAAACAGG
rnacentral:rRNA from 1 species